rnacentral:rRNA from 1 species
GACGAACGCUGGCGACGUGCUUAACACAUGCAAGUCGAACGAUGAAGCCCAGCUUGCUGGGUGGAAGAGUGGCGAACGGGUGAGUAACACGUGAGUAACCUGCCCUGAACUCUGGGAUAAGCACUGGAAACGGUGUCUAAUACUGGAUACGACCUAUCACCGCAUGGUGUGUGGGUGGAAAGAUUUAUCGGUUCUGGAUGGACUCGCGGCCUAUCAGCUAGAUGGUGAGGUAAUGGCUCACCAUGGCGACGACGGGUAGCCGGCCUGAGAGGGUGACCGGCCACACUGGGACUGAGACACGGCCCAGACUCCUACGGGAGGCAGCAGUGGGGAAUAUUGCACAAUGGGCGCAAGCCUGAUGCAGCAACGCCGCGUGAGGGAUGACGGCCUUCGGGUUGUAAACCUCUUUUAGUAGGGAAGAAGCGAAAGUGACGGUACCUGCAGAAAAAGCACCGGCUAACUACGUG